AUGGAAACAUUCACAGCAGUGUCAACGUCGACAUCGUCCACAUCAUCGGCAGGAUAUCUGGAGUGAUGAAUAGCUGCUUGGCAGGAGGUGGUGUUGUCGAGGAGAUGCGGUUGGAAGAGUUUCCUGGGGCCUCACUCAUGACAUACGUGUCGGAUGUACAACAGUCCCUGGUGGAAUCACCACCUGCAUGUGAUUGAGGGACUGGAGCAGACAACACAUAGAUGCCCCUGAGCUUUUUCAGCGAGGGACAGCUUCCAAAUCUGGGCAAGAUUUUUCGACAGACGUGGGAUGCAGAGGUACGCAAGCCGAGCCAAGUUCGCCAGAAUGCUGAUAAUGGACGGCACGGUGGAAUCAA